UACGAAGGGGGCUAGCGUUGUUCGGAAUCACUGGGCGUAAAGCGCACGUAGGCGGAUCUUUAAGUCAGGGGUGAAAUCCCGGGGCUCAACCCCGGAACUGCCUUCGAUACUGGGUAUCUUGAGUUCGGAAGAGGUGAGUGGAAUUGCGAGUGUAGAGGUGAAAUUCGUAGAUAUUCGCAGGAACACCAGUGGCGAAGGCGGCUCACUGGUCCGAUACUGACGCUGAGGUGCGAAAGCGUGGGGAGCAAACAGG
rnacentral:rRNA from 1 species